rnacentral:misc_RNA from 1 species
CCGAGUCUACAACUCCCAAACCCAAUGUGAACGUUACCAAACUGUUGCCUCGGCGGGAUCUCUGCCCCGGGUGCGUCGUAGCCCCGGACCAAGGCGCCCGCCGGAGGACCAACCAAAACUCUUAUUGUAUACCCCCUCGCGGGUUUUUUAUAAUCUGAGCCUUCUCGGCGCCUCUCGUAGGCGUUUCGAAAAUGAAUCA